rnacentral:rRNA from 1 species
UUCCUACGGGAGGCAGCAGUGGGGAAUCUUGGACAAUGGGGGCAACCCUGAUCCAGCCAUGCCGCGUGAGUGAAGAAGGCCUUAGGGUCGUAAAGCUCUUUCGCCUGUGAAGAUAAUGACGGUAGCAGGUAAAGAAACCCCGGCUAACUCCGUGCCAGCAGCCGCGGUAAUACGGAGGGGGUUAGCGUUGUUCGGAAUUACUGGGCGUAAAGCGCGCGUAGGCGGAUUGGAAAGUUGGGGGUGAAAUCCCGGGGCUCAACCCCGGAACUGCCUCCAAAACUCCCAGUCUUGAGUUCGAGAGAGGUGAGUGGAAUUCCGAGUGUAGAGGUGAAAUUCGUAGAUAUUCGGAGGAACACCAGAGGCGAAGGCGGCUCACUGGCUCGAUACUGACGCUGAGGUGCGAAAGUGUGGGGAGCAAACAGGAUUAGAUACCCUGGUAGUCCACACCGUAAACGAUGAAUGCCAGUCGUCGGGUAGCAUGCUGCUCGGUGACACACCUAACGGAUUAAGCAUUCCGCCUGGGGAGUACGGCCGCAAGGUUAAAACUCAAAGGAAUUGACGGAA